AGUCGCACGAGGGGUUUCGGCCUCUAGUGGCGGACGGGUGAGUAACGCGUAGUAUCUAUCCUGGGGUGGGGGAUAACAGUGGGAAACUGCUGCUAAUACCGCAUGACACCUGAGGGUCAAAGGCGUAAGUCGCCUUGGGAGGAGCCUGCGUACGAUUAGCUUGUUGGUGGGGUAAAGGCCUACCAAGGCGAUGAUCGUUAGCUGGUCUGAGAGGAUGAUCAGCCACAUUGGGACUGAGACACGGCCCAAACUCCUACGGGAGGCAGCAGUGGGGAAUAUUGGACAAUGGGCGAAAGCCUGAUCCAGCAAUGCCGCGUGGAUGAAGAAGGUCUUCGGAUUGUAAAGUCCUUUCGACGGGGACGAUGAUGACGGUACCCGUAGAAGAAGCCCCGGCUAACUUCGUGCCAGCAGCCGCGGUAAUACGAAGGGGGCUAGCGUUACUCGGAAUGACUGGGCGUAAAGGGCGCGUAGGCGGUUUGUUUAGUUAGGCGUGAAAUUCCUGGGCUCAACCUGGGGGCUGCGCUUAAUACAGGCAGACUAGAGUGUGAAAGAGGGUCGUGGAAUUCCCAGUGUAGAGGUGAAAUUCGUAGAUAUUGGGAAGAACACCGGUGGCGAAGGCGGCGACCUGGUUCAUGACUGACGCUGAGGCGCGAAAGCGUGGGGAGCAAACAGGAUUAGAUACCCUGGUAGUCCACGCCGUAAACGAUGUGUGCUGGAUGUUAGGUAACCUAGUUACUUAGUGUCGUAGCUAACGCGAUAAGCACACCGCCUGGGGAGUACGGCCGC
rnacentral:rRNA from 1 species